rnacentral:tRNA from 1 species
GGGCGAGUGUCGGAACUGGUAGACGAGGCAGACUUAGGAUCUGCUGGGGUCUCUCCCGUGAGGGUUCGAGUCCCUCCUCGCCCACCA